rnacentral:rRNA from 1 species
UACGUAGGGUGCAAGCGUUAAUCGGAAUUACUGGGCGUAAAGCGUGCGCAGGCGGUGAUGUAAGACAGUUGUGAAAUCCCCGGGCUCAACCUGGGAACUGCAUCUGUGACUGCAUCGCUGGAGUACGGCAGAGGGGGAUGGAAUUCCGCGUGUAGCAGUGAAAUGCGUGGAUAUGCGGAGGAACACCGAUGGCGAAGGCAAUCCCCUGGGCCUGCACUGACGCUCAUGCACGAAAGCGUGGGGAGCAAACAGG